ensembl:lncRNA
GCCACUAUCCUGGGAGAAGCACACAUCAGAGAGAGAGGACCCACACAGGUGCUUCACGUCAUCCAGGUGCCAGCAUGAGAGUGAGGAAGCCUCCACAUGAUUCCAGUGUCCACCCUUUCAAAUCCCCCCUCAGCCUUUGAGUCUUCUCUGCAGAGGUUUUGGACAUUGUGGAGCAGAGAUAGAACAUCCCCACCAUACCAUCUGAAUUCCUAAGAAAAUCAUUGCAUUAAGGUGAAAAUACUGAUAAUACAAUGAUAAUGGUUUAGUCAUUAAGUUGCAUCCGACUCUUGUGACCCCGUGGACUGCAGCCCGCCAGGCUUCCCCGUCCAUGAGACUCUACAGGCAGGAACACUGGACUGGGUGCCAUUUCCUUCUCCAUGGGAUCUUCCCGACCCAGGGAUUGAACCCGGGUCUCCGGCAUUGCAGUGCAAGACAAAUCCUGGUGAGAAGGCAGUGAGAAGGUCCUAAGAAGGUGACACCAGUUAACAUGUUCUGUGGAGAAACAGCAGAGUCAGCUGCUAAAAAGAAACCCUUGGGGAGGGACAUCUGGUACUGCCACCACCUAAUCUUUCCUAGGGGUUCUAAAAAUUGGCUUGUGAAACUUCCCUGGUUGUAAGAGUCCACCUGCCAAUGAGAGGACACAGUUUCAGCCCCCGGUCUGGGAAGAUUCCACAUGCAGUGGAGCAACAAAGCAUAUGCGGCAGCUACUGAGCCACGCUUUAGAGCCUGUGACCCACAACGAACAGCAGCCCCGACUCGCCACACCUAGAGAAAACCUGAGCUCAAGAACGAAGACCCAGCACAACCAAAACUUUUACAUCUUAAAUCUAAAUAACUAAAAUUAAUGAAUUAAUUAAAAUAAAAAUUGGUUUACUAUGGCUUACUCC